rnacentral:rRNA from 1 species
GACGAACGCUGGCGGCGUGCUUAACACAUGCAAGUCGAACGGAAAGGCCCUGCUUUUGUGGGGUGCUCGAGUGGCGAACGGGUGAGUAACACGUGAGUAACCUGCCCUUGACUUUGGGAUAACUUCAGGAAACUGGGGCUAAUACCGGAUAGGAGCUCCUGCUGCAUGGUGGGGGUUGGAAAGUUUCGGCGGUUGGGGAUGGACUCGCGGCUUAUCAGCUUGUUGGUGGGGUAGUGGCAUACCAAGGCUUUGACGGGUAGCCGGCCUGAGAGGGUGACCGGCCACAUUGGGACUGAGAUACGGCCCAGACUCCUACGGGAGGCAGCAGUGGGGAAUAUUGCACAAUGGGCGGAAGCCUGAUGCAGCAACGCCGCGUGCGGGAUGACGGCCUUCGGGUUGUAAACCGCUUUCGCCUGUGACGAAGCGUGAGUGACGGUAAUGGGUAAAGAAGCACCGGCUAACUACGUG